rnacentral:sRNA from 1 species
AUCUGAACCAUCCGAUCAACAAUCUCAAAUCUCAAUACUCAGAAGAAAAAAAC